GCCCAAGAGAUCGGGAUAACACCUGGAAACAGAUGCUAAUACCGGAUAACAACAGAUGAUGCCUAUCAACUGUUUAAAAGAUGGUUCUGCUAUCACUCUUGGAUGGACCUGCGGUGCAUUAGCUAGUUGGUAGGGUAACGGCCUACCAAGGCGAUGAUGCAUAGCCGAGUUGAGAGACUGAUCGGCAACAUUGGGACUGAGACACGGCCCAAACUCCUACGGGAGGCAGCAGCC
rnacentral:rRNA from 1 species